CUCGGGGUCAGCCCGUGUCCCCGGCAGGGUCACAGGUCGCUUCCUCGCCCUGCGGUGCCUGAUAAUGAGUCCAUCGCGGCCGGGGGGACGGAGACACGAUUUAUCAGCAAACCCUGGGAAAAUAAAGGCAUGAAAAUGCUCUUGCAGCAGGCUGGGAAUCUGCUCCAAGGCAUCAGGAAUGGGUCCGUCUCGGAAUGUUUCACACACGUUUCCUGGCAGCAGGGCGGGAGAGGUUUGAUUUAUUUGGGAAUACAGCACUCUGAUACCACAGCAAUGAGUUUGGGUGGUGCUGCAACUGCAACUUUGCCUCCUGCAAAGGUUUAUUUUUCUGCUGGCAAGGCUGGAUGCUGGAAGCUGCCAGGCAAGAGGCUCUCCAAGCAAGGAACUACAAAGCAGGCUGACACCUCUAAUGAAUUACAGUAAUACCAGCUCGGGGUGAACUCUAAAGUGCCUGUUUACACAAUCACUGACCUCCCCUCACCCCCUCUCUGGGGCCAGGCCCCCCCUCUUUGAUGGAUCACAGCUGAAUGGAGGCAGUCCCCAGUGUUUAUCAUCUCCCAGCUCUGGGAAGGGAAGGAAUAGCAGCAUUUCCUGGCCAGCACUGACAAUUCAAUACCCAACCAACACUUGCACUGAGAAAUACCUCCUGCAUCUCCCUUUGAAAGUCCCAUUUGUGGUGGGAGGGCUCUGUGCAGGGAAGAGGUUUUUGCAGGAUCAGGCACUGGGACAUACAGGCAAGGACACUCACGGAGCAGGGCUCAGGGAGCAAGGACAGCCCCUGUGCUCACCAGGCCUCAGUGCCCUGCAGGGAUGCUGCUCUUGGCCAGGAGAUCCUCUCUGGGCUGUUAUUCAGACUUUUUGCUGUUUUGGUGCAGGAAUUUUUCCAUUUUCCCCCGUGUCCUGGUGCUCAAAAGCUGCCAGCUCCUGGGUCUCAGGGAUCAGGGAUUGUUCCCUCUGACAGGGGGGAUGUGGCAGGCUCGGUGCCAAGCUGGAGGGAACGGGUUCUUCAAGGAGCCCUGCAUUCCUGAGGGGGGGAAAUGAGUGUUUAGAUCAAAUGGGGUGGGACAAAAAAAAAGCCAAUGAAGCAGGAGGUUCCUCCUGUCCCACCUGCAACACUUCCAGCCAGAGCUCCCCAUGACCACCACAGGCAUUUCCCUCUGUCCAAAUCAAACCCUGCUCUGUGAGGGGGCUGGAGAUGUGUCCCCAACCCUCAGAUGUCCUCAGAGGUCCCCAGUUCUGCUUGGAUCUGUGCCCAGCAGAGCCCAACUCCUCCUCCCUGUCUGCCGAGCCUGGUGAACACCCCAACCCUUCCCCAGCCUCGGGGAAUGCUGUCCUU
rnacentral:lncRNA from 1 species